UUCUGGUUGAUCCUGCCGGAGGCCAUUGCUAUUGGAGUCCGAUUUAGCCAUGCUAGUUGCACGAGUUCAGACUCGUAGCAGAUAGCUCAGUAACACGUGGCCAAACUACCCUCUGGAGCGCGACAACCUCGGGAAACUGAGGCUAAUCGUGCAUACCGCUCUCAGGCUGGAACUGCCGAGAGCUCGAAAUGCCCCGGCGCCAGAGGAUGUGGCUGCGGCCGAUUAGGUAGACGGUGGGGUAACGGCCCACCGUGCCAGUAAUCGGUACGGGUUGUGAGAGCAAGAGCCCAGAGACGGUAUCUGAGACAAGAUACCGGGCCCUACGGGGCGCAGCAGGCGCGAAACCUUUACACUGCACGCCAGUGCGAUAAGGGGACUCCAAGCGCGAAGGCAUAGAGCCCUCGCUUUUCUGUACCGUAAGGUGGUACAGGAAUAAGUGCUGGGCAGGACCGGUGCCAGCCGCCGCGGUAAUACCGGCAGCACGAGUGAUGGCCGCUCUUAUUGGGCCUAAAGCGUCCGUAGCUGGCCGCGCAAGUCCAUCGGGAAAUCCGCACGCUUAACGUGCGGGCGUCCGGUGGAAACUGCGUGGCUUGGGACCGGAAGAUCCGGAGGGUACGUCCGGGGUAGGAGUGAAAUCCUGUAAUCCUGGACGGACCACCGGUGGCGAAAGCGCUCUGGAAAGACGGAUCCGACGGUGAGGGAUGAAAGCUGGGGGAGCAAACCGGAUUAGAUACCCGGGUAGUCCCAGCUGUAAACGAUGCAGACUCGGUGAUGGACUAGCUUAAUGCUAGUCCAGUGCCGCAGGGAAGCCGUUAAGUCUGCCGCCUGGGUAGUACGGUCGCAAGACUGAAACUUAAAGGAAUUGGCGGGGGAGCACCACAAGGGGUGAAGCCUGCGGUUCAAUUGGAGUCAACGCCGGGAAUCUUACCGGGGGCGACAGCAGAGUGAAGGUCAAGCUGAAGACUUUACUAGACAAGCUGAGAGGAGGUGCAUGGCCGUCGCCAGCUCGUGCCGUGAGGUGUCCUGUUAAGUCAGGUAACGAGCGAGACCCCUGCUUCUAGUUGCUACUUUUAUUCCCCGGAGUAGAAGGGCUAAUUAGAAGGACUGCCGCCGCUAAGGCGGAGGAAGGAGGGGGCUACGGCAGGUCAGUAUGCCCCGAAACCCUCGGGCCACACGCGGGCUGCAAUGGUAAGUACAAUAGGUUCCGAUUUCGAAAGGAGGAGGCAAUCCGCAAAACUUACCACAGUUAUGAUUGAGGGCUGAAACUCGUCCUCAUGAAUAUGGAAUCCCUAGUAAUCGCGUGUCAUCAUCGCGCGGUGAAUACGUCCCUGCUCCUUGCACACACUGCCCGUCGCUUCAUCGAAGUUGGUUUUAGGCGAGGUGGUGCGAUUUGGCAUUAUCGAACCUGAGAUCAGCAACGAGGGAGAAGUCGUAGCAAGGUAACC
rnacentral:rRNA from 1 species